AUUGAACGCUGGCGGCAUGCCUAACACAUGCAAGUCGAACGAGUGGCGGACGGGUGAGUAAUGUCUGGGAAACUGCCUGAUGGAGGGGGAUAACUACUGGAAACGGUAGCUAAUACCGCAUACCAUCGGAUGUUCCCAGAUGGGAUUAGCUAGUAGGUGGGGGAAAGGCUCACCUAGUCGACGGUCCCUAGCUGGUCUGGUAGGAUGACCAGCAGUACUGGAACUGAGACACGGUCAAGACUCCUACGGGAGGCAGCAGUGGGGAAUAUUGCACAAUGGGAUCAAGCCUGAUGCAGCCAUGCCACGUAUAUGAAGAAGGCCUUCGGGUUGUAAAGUACUUUCAGCGGGGAGGCGUUACCCGCAGAAGAAGCACCGGCUAACUCCGUGCCAGCAGCCGCGGUAAUUC
rnacentral:rRNA from 1 species